rnacentral:rRNA from 1 species
UUGAUCAGGCACUAUUUUGUGGAUCCUCCCGUGUACCCUGAGUCGUACUUCCGGCGCCGGUUUAGGAUGAGCACCGAGUUGUUCAGACGCAUUGCAGAGAAACUAGCGAGUCAUGACCGGUUUUUUCAGCAAAGGAGGAAUGCCGCCGGAGAGCUCGGGCAUAGCACCUUUCAGAAGGUGACAGCCGCUUUGCGUAUGUUGGCAUACGGUAUCCCCGCUGAUCUAGUUGAUAAUCACUUGGCCUUGAAACGAUGGCCGAUCAGGAGACUUGGAUUUGGCAUGCUUUUUUGGAAUGCCUGGAUCUUUGAAUGA